rnacentral:rRNA from 1 species
CAAUAGAUUGCUGGCGACCGGCGCACGGGUGAGUAACACGUAUCCAACCUGCCGAUAACUCGGGGAUAGCCUUUCGAAAGAAAGAUUAAUAUCCGAUAGUAUAUUAAAACCGCAUGGUUUUACUAUUAAAGAAUUUCGGUUAUCGAUGGGGAUGCGUUCCAUUAGUUUGUUGGCGGGGUAACGGCCCACCAAGACUACGACGGAUAGGGGUUCUGAGAGGAAGGUCCCCCACAUUGGAACUGAGACACGGUCCAA